UUAUAACAUGACCUUGACCUUCGACCUUGACCUCAAUUUCAAGGUCAUAGGUCAGUGAACUCAAAUCGGAAGACCUGAGGUCAAUCACUUGUAUGGUUGUGGAGAAAUACUGAUUUCAAAUACAUAAGGGGAGAAAACUCCUAUAAGUGUUAACCAAAACACUUCGACUGAAAAAGGUUGAAGUUGCGCCUUAUUGUAAACAGUAAUUUGGCAAACACAUCAUAUCAUUAACUGUAACAGUUUCUUUUGAAUAACGAUAACAAGCAAAAUUCAAAAUUUAUAACAUGACCUUGACCUUCGCUUGACCUCAAUUUCAAGGUCAUAGGUCAGUGAACUCAAAUCGGAAGGCCCGAGGUCAAUCACUUGUAUGGUUGUGGAGAAAUACUGAUUUCAAAU
rnacentral:lncRNA from 1 species